CGUGGAGACAGGUGGUGCAUGGUUGUCGUCAGCUCGUGUCGUGAGAUGUUGGGUUAAGUCCCGCAACGAGCGCAACCCCUAUAUUUAGUUGCUAACGGGUAAAGCUGAGCACUCUAGAAAGACUGCCGGUGAUAAACCGGAGGAAGGUGGGGACGACGUCAAGUCCUCAUGGCCUUUAUGCCCAGGGCUACACACGUGCUACAAUGGGCGGCACAAAGGGAAGCGACGCCGCGAGGUGUAGCAAAUCCCAAAAAACCGUUCUCAGUUCGGAUCGGAGUCUGCAACUCGACUCCGUGAAGUUGGAAUCGCUAGUAAUCGUGGAUCAGCAUGCCACGGUGAAUACGUUCCCGGGCCUUGUACACACCGCCCGUCACACCACGAAAGUCUGCUGUACUCGAAGUCGCUGAG
rnacentral:rRNA from 1 species